UAAGCGGAGGAAAAGAAACUAACAAGGAUUCCCCUAGUAACGGCGAGUGAAGCGGGAAGAGCUCAAAUUUGAAAUCUGGUAGCCUUCGGUUGCCCGAGUUGUAAUCUAGAGAAGUGUUUUCCGCGUUGGCCCAUGUACAAGUCCCUUGGAACAGGGCGUCAUAGAGGGUGAGAAUCCCGUCCUUGACAUGGACCCCCAAUGCUUUGUGAUACACUUUCAACGAGUCGAGUUGUUUGGGAAUGCAGCUCAAAAUGGGUGGUGAAUUCCAUCUAAAGCUAAAUAUUGGCGAGAGACCGAUAGCGAACAAGUACCGUGAGGGAAAGAUGAAAAGCACUUUGGAAAGAGAGUUAAACAGUACGUGAAAUUGUUGAAAGGGAAACGAUUGAAGUCAGUCAUGCUCUUUGGAUUAAGCCGUUCUGCGGUGUAUUUCAUUGAGCGGGGUCAACAUCAGUUUUGAUCGCUGGAAAAGGGCAGGAGGAAGGUAGCACUCUCGGGUGAACUUAUAGCCUCUUGUCGUAUACAGUGAUUGGGACUGAGGAACGCAGCAUGCCUUUUGGCCGGGAUUCGUCCACGUACAUGCUA
rnacentral:rRNA from 1 species